ACGGUGGACAGGCCCAUGCUCACGAGGUCUUUAUUGGAAUAAAUAACAGCAUACUGUGACGCCACGUGGCAUUGUCCUAACCGCAUCCCUGGCGGAAGAAGUGUUUGCCCGGUGUUGCAGUGAGCUCCUGAAAAGCGCUUGCUUCCUGCACUCAGCCAGGUGGGCCUGACAAACAGCAUGGCCAGGGUUUUCGUGGCUUUUAUAUAACAUCCAGAAAUCCAAAGUAAACAUUGCUUAAAACAAUUAAGAAGACAGUAAAAUACUGGCACACAAAACAGGGGGAAAGGAUUCAGUUGCUUUAAAAUAAAAUUGCUCUUUGUCACCAAGACAAUUAGGACACCACGGCCCAGCGGGACUCUGGGCUCGGUGCUUGCAUAACACUGUGUGGGCGUCAAAGGGGAACUGAAGCUGCGGGAGGCUCCCCUAGCUGGUGUGGGUUGAGAGACACGUCACAUGGAGAAGGAGAAUCAGCAAAUACCUUCCUGCCCUUGUCCGAGCGUCCACUUGGGCCUUGCAGGCCUGAGACCCCUUUGUGCUGGGACGUUUGUCCCCAUGGGUGGACAUACUUGGCCUUGCUUUCACUCAGUUCCUAUGGACCAGGGUUCCUCUUCAAAGAACCAUUCACUGAAAACGUGGUGCCGGGAGGAGGAAGGGUCCCAGAAUUUCUCUGAACUAAGAACCAAGAGCAGCAGCAGACGGGGCAUCUCACACCCAAGCCUCAUGUCCCAGCAGCCAUUCAUCCCAAGCCUAUAGGAAUCGAGUUCACCCUGAAUUCUGCCUUGGAACUGGCCCCUUGCUGCAUCUGUCCAGGCCAUGCUAUGAAUUCAGACUCAAACUGAUGGUGAAUGGAGAAAAAUGAGGAGUCGAGCCUAAUGGGGCCCUUCCCAGGUAUGCAAAAGGCACACCUACACCUUUGAACCAAUUGGAAAAGAAUGUGGACAAAAGAUCACAGCUCUGUUCUUUUCUUUUUCUUUUUUCUUUCUUUUUUUUUUUUGAGACAGAGUCUCACUCUGUUGCUCAGGCUGGAGUGCAGUGGCAUGAUCUCAGCUCACUGCAACUUCCACCUCCUGGGUUCAUGCAAUUCUCCUGCCUCAGCCUCCCGAAUAGCUGGGAUUACAGGCAUACAUACCAUGCAUGGCUAAUUUUUGUAUUUUUAGUAGACACGGGGAGAAGCCGGCAUCUACAAGCCAAGGCGAAAGGCCUGAGGAUGUAAUUCUCUGAUGUCUGAGCCACUCCCCUGUGGCACUUUACUACACAGUGCCAGUGAACCAAUGCACCCCCCUCAUUUUAAAGUUUCCAAAGAUGCAUUCAUUCCCAAAAAGGGCCUCUGAAGGGGAAAGCUGUGACCCAAGCUGUCUCAAGCAGCACAAUUAGAGCCAUCUCCAGACCCAGCCCCUCAACCACAGCAAGAAAUUAAGAAACGUCCCCAGCAGACAGCUCCUUUCAAGGACUGUGGGAGCUGGGCCAUCCUGAGUCUUGGAUGUUUGUGCAAAACCUACAUUAAAACGAGUGACCAAGAAGUGAUAGGAAUGUGGGUGGAGGACACCCAUGUCACAUCUAAGCUUCUGGGACUUUAAAGUUUUUCAAACUGCAAAACCCUUUUAUUUUUAAUAAAAGGCCUCACUUCCAAGGAGAGCC
rnacentral:lncRNA from 10 species